CAGCCGCCGCGGUAAUACAGAGGGUGCAAGCGUUAAUCGGAAUUACUGGGCGUAAAGCGCGCGUAGGUGGUUCGCCAAGUUGGAUGUGAAAUCCCCGGGCUCAACCUGGGAAUGGCAGUGGAUACUGGCAAGCUAGAGUGUGUCAGAGGAUGGUGGAAUUCCCGGUGUAGCGGUGAAAUGCGUAGAGAUCGGGAGGAACAUCAGUGGCGAAGGCGGCCAUCUGGGACAACACUGACGCUGAGGCACGAAAGCGUGGGGAGCAAACAGGAUUAGAUACCCGUGUAGUCCCUGUCUCUUAUAA
rnacentral:rRNA from 1 species